AGCAUUGUCGUGCCGGUAGCAGAAUAUUGGUAUAAUGCCACUUGAUGUGUCUAAAAGCUGUCUCUAGCGUCUGACCUGCUUGGAUUGUGUUUAGCUGUUGCAGUAGACAGGAAGAAAAUAGCGAUUUUGCGCAUUUUAGCAGCUGUUAACCAGUUCCCUUGCAAAGUGAGGGUGCGUGGAGAGGCUGUAGGAGAAAAUCCGAACCUAGCAGCGCUCUGGGAGACGCCAACUACUAGACAGUGAGAGCAGUGCAGGGAACCAGUAUCAAGGCACACUAAUACAGAAACUGCAAUAGAAAAAAAUAUAUACAGAACAAAUACCAAGGCAUAUCAAAUGGAAGGGCUUGGUUUGCAGAUUGGACAAUGGAGGAUAGCAUAGAGAAAGAGGGAGAGAAAAAUAAAAAGUGGAAAUCAAAGAGAGGAGAUGCAGUUUCUUAGGAUGAAAAGGGACUAGAUUUGCAGCAGUAAACAGCAAGAAAAUCGAAUCACAGAAUUUGAUACUCAAAUGUUACUGUGUAAUGUAAUAACUACACUUGUGUAGAAAUUAAAUUACAAAGAAAAUACGAUAAUUUUCUCUAUCUCUCUCUCUCUCUCUCUCUCUCUCUCUCUCUCUCUCUCACACACACAAAGUUUUUGAAAGUAAAAUAUUCCACAUUGACUAUCACCAUGAGUCUCGGCAUUCACUUUCAAUAUGAUAUUAGCUCAAACAUUGCCAAAGUGAAAAUAAAAGACACUGAACUACCCGGUAGCAAUGUUUCCAUACUGGCCAGCACUUCCUCCAUUAUGUUUGUGCGGUAAGGCAAAUAUAAUAGAAUUAAAAAGCAAGUAUAUUCCUCUCGCACAGUAUAUUGUCGAUUAGGCCUUACUUUUAAACAAAACUGAAAAAAAUGGCCCAUUCGCCGACUGUCUCACAUCAAGACGCACUAACACGUACCUGCAAGUUGGCA